rnacentral:rRNA from 1 species
AGUGGCGGACGGGUGAGUAACGCGUGAGCAACCUGCCCUUCGGAGGGGGAUAGUGUCUGGAAACGGACAGUAAUACCGCAUAACGUAUUGAUACCGCAUGAUAUUGAUACCAAAACUGAGGUGCCGAAGGAUGGGCUCGCGUUGGAUUAGAUAGUUGGUGGGGUAACGGCCUACCAAGUCGACGAUCCAUAGCCGGACUGAGAGGUUGAACGGCCACAUUGGGACUGAGACACGGCCCAGACUCCUACGGAAGGCAGCAG